rnacentral:rRNA from 1 species
UACGUAGGGUCCGAGCGUUGUCCGGAAUUACUGGGCGUAAAGAGCUCGUAGGUGGUUUGUCGCGUUGUUCGUGAAAACUCACAGCUCAACUGUGGGCGUGCGGGCGAUACGGGCAGACUGGAGUACUGCAGGGGAGACUGGAAUUCCUGGUGUAGCGGUGGAAUGCGCAGAUAUCAGGAGGAACACCGGUGGCGAAGGCGGGUCUCUGGGCAUCUCCUGACGCUGAGGCGCGAAAGCGUGGGGAGCAAACAGG